rnacentral:rRNA from 1 species
GACGAACGCUGGCGGCGUGCUUAACACAUGCAAGUCGAACGGAAAGGCCCUGCUUUUGUGGGGUGCUCGAGUGGCGAACGGGUGAGUAACACGUGAGUAACCUGCCCUUGACUUUGGGAUAACUUCAGGAAACUGGGGCUAAUACCGGAUAGGAGCUCCUGCUGCAUGGUGGGGGUUGGAAAGUUUCGGCGGUUGGGGAUGGACUCGCGGCUUAUCAGCUUGUUGGUGGGGUAGUGGCUUACCAAGGCUUUGACGGGUAGCCGGCCUGAGAGGGUGACCGGCCACAUUGGGACUGAGAUACGGCCCAGACUCCUACGGGAGGCAGCAGUGGGGAUUAUUGCACAAUGGGCGGAAGCCUGAUGCAGCAACGCCGCGUGCGGGAUGACGGCCUUCGGGUUGUAAACCGCUUUCGCCUGUGACGAAGCGUGAGUGACGGUAAUGGGUAAAGAAGCACCGGCUAACUACGUG